CCUACGGGAGGCAGCAGUAGGGAAUAUUGCGCAAUGGGGGAAACCCUGACGCAGCAACGCCGCGUGAGUGAGGAAGGUCUUCGGAUUGUAAAACUCUGUUCUUAGGGAAAAAUGAUAUUAUGGUUAAUACCCAUAGUAAGUGAUGGUACCUAAGUAGAAAGCACCGGCUAACUUCGUGCCAGCAGCCGCGGUAAU
rnacentral:rRNA from 1 species